rnacentral:rRNA from 1 species
AACGAACGCUGGCGGCAUGCCUAACACAUGCAAGUCGAACGAGACCUUCUGGUCUAGUGGCGCACGGGUGCGUAACGCGUGGGAACCUGCCCUUAGGUUCGGAAUAACUCCCCGAAAGGGGUGCUAAUACCGGAUAAUGUCUUCGGACCAAAGAUUUAUCGCCUUUGGAUGGGCCCGCGUUGGAUUAGCUAGUUGGUAGGGUAAAAGCCUACCAAGGCGACGAUCCAUAGCUGGUCUGAGAGGAUGAUCAGCCACACUGGGACUGAGACACGGCCCAGACUCCUACGGGAAGCAGCAGUGGGGAAUAUUGGACAAUGGGCGAAAGCCUGAUCCAGCAAUGCCGCGUGAGUGAUGAAGGCCUUAGGGUUGUAAAGCUCUUUUACCCGGGAUGAUAAUGACAGUACCGGGAGAAUAAGCUCCGGCUAACUCCGUG